rnacentral:rRNA from 1 species
UACGGGGGGGGUAAGCGUUGUUCGGAAUUACUGGGCGUAAAGGGCUCGUAGGCGGCCAACUAAGUCGGACGUGAAAUCCCUCAGCUUAACUGGGGAACUGCGUCCGAUACUGGAUGGCUUGGAUUUGGGAGAGGGAUGCGGAAUUCCAGGUGUAGCGGUGAAAUGCGUAGAUAUGCGGAGGAACACCGAUGGCGAAGGCAAUCCCCUGGGCCUGCACUGACGCUCAUGCACGAAAGCGUGGGGAGCAAACAGG